rnacentral:rRNA from 1 species
UACGGGGGGAGCAAGCGUUGUUCGGAUUUACUGGGCGUAAAGGGCGCGUAGGCGGUCAGCACAAGUCAGUUGUGAAAUCUCCGGGCUUAACUCGGAAAGGUCAACUGAUACUGUGCGACUAGAGUGCAGAAGGGGCAACUGGAAUUCUCGGUGUAGCGGUGAAAUGCGUAGAUAUCAGGAGGAACACCGGUGGCGAAGGCGGAUCUCUGGGCCAUUACUGACGCUGAGGAGCGAAAGCGUGGGGGAGCGAACAGG